GACGUCAUUUCCCAUUCCGCAGCUGGUGGUUCGUCUGCGCGCUGACAGCAACAGCCGUGUGUCUCUUAUACCGACAGCGAGUAUCAACAGUGAGUUUACUCGUUGUUGAGCCUCGGAAAGCUUCGCAUCAGCUCCCCAAACUCCUUUUUUCCCUCUUCUCCGGCACGUGACGCCACAGCGGGACUUCUUAUUGCCAAAACUGUCUGCAACUGGUGUUCGUGGAGGAAGAGACUCUAUAAUUCUAAAAGAAAACUCACCUUGCAGCAAAUAGUGGUUCAUUCCCACUGGAAUCUAUC
ensembl:lncRNA